GGCGCUGUAGUGUAGUGGUUAUCACUCGAGAUUCUGAUCGUUGAUCGGCUUCUUCUCGUAACCCAGGUUCGAGUCCUGGCAGUGCCU